AAGCUGCACGUCACAUAGAAUUAGUAUUGUUUCUUUUCUUUUCUAUUCUUUUUUUUUUUUUAUUUAUUUAUUUAAUGAGAAAAUAGUGUAACUAUGCUAGAGUGAAGAGUACUGUGAAUGGUACUGUCGAUAAAAAAAAAAAAGAAAAAAGGUUUCUUCAGUAUACCCUUUUCCUUUUUCACAAUAGUAAUGAUUACACCGUUUCUUUGUAAUUUAGUAUAACAUCACUUAUAAACAUUAGCGCGUAUUUAUGUGUUUGUAGAAUGUUAGAACAACCGACCAAGCCGAUACUCUGUCGUUUGGAAUUGCAUUAUUAGAUACUCAUCUACUAAUGGAAAUUGCAUAUUUUGAAGAAAAAAGGAAAAUACCUGACUUGAGUGUUAAAAAGUUGCUAUUCAAGCACUUUUUUCAUCAUCAUCACCAUUUCAUUUGAUACUCACUAUAGUCAUGCUGCUGUUCUCUGGACAUCUGUUUUUAAAGCUUUAGAAUGAUAUUAGAUUACAAAAAAUCUUUUUACUCCAGAGCUGUAGCAGAGCAUUUUGUUUUUUACUUAAGUUACAGAUUCCUCUUUUUCUUAAUAAAAUGAAAAGUCACCGAAAGGCUAACUUAUGGGAUGAUAACUUGCUUAACAGUCUUAAUAUGAUCUGAUGGACUUUAAAUUAAAAUGUCACAGUAAAGGACCCUAUAAAAUCGCUAUUUAACUAAUCAGAAGCAAGAAGAAUGUAGAUCCGUGUAACCUAUUGAAAAAUCUGCUAAUCAUCUGGUUAUAUAGAGGUUCAUAAACUUUAAGCUAAGAUUAUCCCAACAUGUCUUAAGGUAAUUAUACGUAAAUU